CUUCGAAACACUUAUUUACAACGCAGAACAAUUUCACAAAUUGCAAUUUAUUGCCUGGUUUGGACUGUCUGCUGUUGCCAAUUUACCAUCAACACUCUUUAAUUUAUUCAAAUUUUCAAGACCCAAGUUUGUCGACAAGUAUGGCUCCACCGACCCACUGGUACUUAAAUGACAACGUAAUAAAUGAUUAUUUUAAUUUGAUCAAAAAACAGAAUCCGAGCGUUUAUUCCUUUGACACCUAUUUUUAUGAGCGGCUUAAGAAAUCUGGAUACAAUUUUAUAAA